UGUUGCAACCUCAGCUUUUGUGCAAGUCAAUAAAAUACUUUUUCCUUUUGUGUUGUUUGUAGGUUCAUGGCAGUUUUCAUCCCCUCCAUCUAAGAACUGUUUACAAACAUUUGUUAUUAAACUUCGCAGCACCAGAGAAGGGCUGCAUUCAGUACCUGUCUGUCUGCCUGUGACACCGAGAUCUGCUGCUGUUUGCCUGGGGAUGCCCCGUGCUUUGUAUCUGCCAGGCUCAGCGGGGCCGUGACAUCAGACGUUUUCAAAACAAAGAAUUCAAGCCGCUUAGCAAAUUGAACCAACUCAGCGAGGAAUCUGACAAAC
rnacentral:lncRNA from 1 species